rnacentral:rRNA from 1 species
GAUGAACGUCAGCGUGAGGCCUAACAUGUGCGACCCGAGCGGUAUUGUCUCUUCGGAAAUGAGAGAGCGGCUGACGGGUGCAGAACACGUGUGCGACCUGCCUUUAUCCGGGGGAUAGCCUUUCGAAAGGAAGAUUAAUACUCCAUAAUAUAUAGAGCGGCCUCCUUUAAUAUUGAAAGCUCCGGCGGAUACGAGAUGGCCACGCGCAAGAUUAGCUAGUUGGUGAGGUAACGGCUCACCACGGCGAUGAUCUUUAGGGGGCCUGAGAGGGCGAUCCCCCGCACUGGUACUGAGACUCGGACCAGACUCCUACGGGAGGCAGCAGUGCGGAAUAUUGGUCAAUGGGUGCAAGCCUGAACCAGCCAUCCCGCGUGAAGGACCACUGCCCUAUGGGUUGUAACCUUCUUUUGUAUAGGGAUAAACCUACCCUCGUGAGGGUAGCUCACGGUACUAUACGAAUAAGCACCGGCUAACUCCGUGCCAGCAGCCGCGGUAAUACGGAGGGCGCUAGCCUUAUCCGGAUUUUUUGGGUUUAAAGGGUCCGUAGGCGGACUUAUAAGUCAGUGGUGAAAGCCUGUCGCUUAACGAUAGAACUGCCAUUGAUACUGUAAGUCUUGAGUAUAUUUGAGGUAGCUGGAAUAAGUAGUGUAGCGGUGAAAUGCAUAGAUAUUACUUAGAACACCAAUUGCGAAGGCAGGUUACCAAGAUAUAACUGACGCUGAGGGACGAAAGCGUGGGGAGCGAACAGGAUUAGAUACCCUGGUAGUCCACGCCGUAAACGAUGCUAACUCGUUUUUGGGCUUUAGGGUUCAGAGACCAAGCGAAAGUGAUAAGUUAGCCACCUGGGGAGUACGCUCGCAAGAGUGAAACUCAAAGGAAUUGACGGGGGCCCGCACAAGCGGUGGAUUAUGUGGUUUAAUUCGAUGAUACGCGAGGAACCUUACCAAGACUUAAAUGGGAAUUGACAGCUUUAGAAAUAGAGCUUUCUUCGGACAAUUUUCAAGGUGCUGCAUGGUUGUCGUCAGCUCGUGCCGUGAGGUGUUAGGUUAAGUCCUGCAACGAGCGCAACCCCUGUCACUAGUUGCCAUCAUUCAGUUGGGGACUCUAGUGGGACUGCCUACCCAAGUAGAGAGGAAGGUGGGGAGGACGUCAAAUCAUCACGGCCCUUACGUCGUGGGCCACACACGUAAUACAAUGGCCGGUACAGAGGGCAGCUACACAGCGAUGUGAUGCAAAUCUCGAAAGCCGGUCUCAGUUCGGAUUGGAGUAUGCAACUCGACUCUAUGAAGCUGGAAUCGCUAGUAAUCGCGCAUCAGCCAUGGCGCGGUGAAUACGUUCCCGGGCCU